rnacentral:lncRNA from 1 species
UUGUGUCCCCGCAGCUGAGUGGCAGGUAGCAGAGGCCACGGCACUGGUGCACACGCUGGACGGCUGGUCCGUGGUGCAGACGAUGGUCGUGUCCACCAAAACGCCGGACAAGAAGCUCGUCUUUGGCAAAGGGAACUUUGAGCACCUGACAGGUGAGUCCGUCCACACCUGCCCCCUCCCCAGACCUCCUUUCCCGUCCGCUGCUCCCGAGAACAUUCAACCCGGACGCGUGGAAGGACGGGGGUCUCGCUGGGCCAGACGGGAGGCGGCCCCAUGAGUGGGUGGUCCAGGUGAGCUGGGAGCCCACGUCAGGAGGAGCCGGAGGCAUGGGAGGCUGGACCUGUGUCCCCGCCACACAGACUCUCUCAGCGUGGGGUCCCGCGUGGGGCCCUGGCGCUUCCAGGUUUUUGACCGUCCGGCUUACACUGCAGAGUGGGGAAGACCCGACCAACUAAUACUAGUACUUCUACUAACUAAGCUACUAACUAGCCGAGCUGGGAGUCUGCUUCCCUGCCUGACUCAGAGGCGUCUCAUCGGGGCUGGGAUGUGUUCACCAUGUCUCUGUGUGUGUGUGUGGCCCACCGUGUGUUCACCGCGUGUGUGUGCAUCUGUGUGUCCCCACUGGGAUGUGUUCACCGUGUGUGUGUCUGUGUGUCCCCACUGGGAUGCCUUCCCCGUGUGUGUGGGUGUGUGUCCCUGUCACGAUGUGUUCACUGUGUGUGUGGGGGGGGUGGGUCCCCACUGCGAUGUGUUCCGUGUGUGUGUGUGUGUGUCCCCACUGGGAUGUGUUCCGUGUGUGUGUGUGUGUAGAUGCGUCUGUCCGUCUCGGAAUGUGUUCACCGUGUGUGUGUGUGUCCCCGCCGGGAUGCGUUCACCAUGUGUGCAUGUGUGUGUGUGAGAUGUGUGUGUCCAUGUUGGAAUGUUUACCUUGUGUGUGUGUCUCCGCCGGGAUGUGUUCACCGUGUACACAUCUGUGUACGUGAAACACACACCCCUAGAGACAGACCCCCUCCGACGCCGCUUUCCUGGAUCCUGGGUCUGGGGCUCAGGAAGUCGGGGACGUCUGUGAACUGCGCCC